rnacentral:rRNA from 1 species
UACGAGGGGGGCAAAUGUUGUUCGGAAUCACUGGGCGUAAAGGGAGCGUAGGCGGGUUUUUAAGUCGGGUGUUUAAUCCCGGGGCCCAACCCCGGACAGGCACUUGAAACUGGGAAUCUUGAAUAGCGGAGAGGUCAGUGGAAUUGGGGGUGUAGCGGUGGAAUGCGUAGAGAUCCCCAAGAACACCCGUUGCGAAGGCGGCUGACUGGACCACAACUGACGCUGAUGCGCGAAAGCUAGGGGAGCAAACAGG